CUUGUACAUGAUGCACUCAGAGAGCGCCACCAGACCCAGCAGCAGCAGCCACUUCAUGGUUCUUCCCGGGUCCCAACUCGAGGGAGAAGGCAAGAUGGGAGGAAGGUUGUCGUAUCCGAGGAUGCCUGUCAUGCUGCCGGUGCCGUAGGUGAUGGAGACUGUCUCGCUGGUGGACUGGUAGGUGGAAGAAUCCUCAGGGUUGAAGCGGUUGUGCUUCUUCAGGAAGUCCUUCAGCAGGCCACGCUCGGACAGGGUGCGCCUCAAGGACUUCUUUCUGAUGAGGGGGACCCUGUGGUUUGGAGAAG
rnacentral:lncRNA from 1 species